UUAGUAUUCCCUCCGUCCGAAAAAUCUUGUCCGAAGCUUGUCUUUCAAAUAGAUGUAUCUAGCACUAACUUGUUGCUAAAUACAUCAAUUUGAGGGACAAACUUUUUCGGACGGAGGGAGUAUGUA
rfam:Triticum aestivum genome assembly, contig: Triticum_aestivum_CS42_TGACv1_scaffold_049441_1BS